CAGCAGUGGGGAAUAUUGGACAAUGGGCGAAAGCCUGAUCCAGCCAUGCCGCGUGUGUGAAGAAGGUCUUCGGAUUGUAAAGCACUUUAAGUUGGGAGGAAGGGCAGUAAGUUAAUACCUUGCUGUUUUGACGUUACCGACAGAAUAAGCACCGGCUAACUUCGUGCCAGCAGCCGCGGUAAUACGAAGGGUGCAAGCGUUAAUCGGAAUUACUGGGCGUAAAGCGCGCGUAGGUGGUUCGUUAAGUUGGAUGUGAAAGCCCCGGGCUCAACCUGGGAACUGCAUCCAAAACUGGCGAGCUAGAGUAUGGCAGAGGGUGGUGGAAUUUCCUGUGUAGCGGUGAAAUGCGUAGAUAUAGGAAGGAACACCAGUGGCGAAGGCGACCACCUGGGCUAAUACUGACACUGAGGUGCGAAAGCGUGGGGAGCAAACAGGAUUAGA
rnacentral:rRNA from 1 species